CUCAGUUUCAGUGUUUUUCUCUGUUGCUAUACAGUUUGCUUUGAGGAUAAUUUUAUCAAAAAGGUCUGCUUUUAUCUAUUGUUUUUCUAUUAGUUUCAAGCUCUAUUCUCAUUUUGUGGAUGUUUUAUGGAUAGCUAUGACAUCGAUUCUAUUGUUUUGCUCCCUAAUUGAUUUGGGUUGUUUCGCUAUUGCUGAAAUCCUGAAAAUUCAGUACAUAUUUUUCGCUCGCAGUCAAAACUUAAAGCUAUAAGAUUCCA
rnacentral:lncRNA from 1 species